AGCGAAAGCGAGAAAGCGUUGCCGCAGGCAACGACCCGAAGGGCGAAGCGCGCAGCGCUGAGUAAUCCUUCCCCCACCACCA
rnacentral:sRNA from 1 species